UUUCCGGUUGAUCCUGCCGGACCUGACUGCUAUCGGAUUGAUACUAAGCCAUGCGAGUCUUUGUAGUAAUACAAGGCAGACGGCUCAGUAACACGUAGUCAACCUACCCUAUGGACGAGAAUAAUCUCGGGAAACUGAGCAUAAUUCUUGCUAGAUCAUAAUGCCUGGAAUGGUUUAUGGUUAAAAUGAUUCGUCGCCAUAGGAUGGGACUGCGGCCUAUCAGCUUGUUGGUGAGGUAAUGGCCCACCAAGGCGAUUACAGGUACGGGCUCUGAGAGGAGAAGCCCGGAGAUGGGUACUGAGACACGGACCCAGGCCCUAUGGGGCGCAGCAGGCGAGAAAACUUUGCAAUGUGCGAAAGCACGACAAGGUUAAUCCGAGUGAUUUCUGCUAAAGAAAUCUUUUGCCAGUCGUAAAACCGCUGGUGAAUAAGGGGUGGGCAAGUUCUGGUGUCAGCCGCCGCGGUAAAACCAGCACCUCAAGUGGUCAGGAUGAUUAUUGGGCCUAAAGCAUCCGUAGCCGGCUUUGUAAGUUUUCGGUUAAAUCCAUGUGCUCAACGCAUGGGCUGCCGAAAAUACUGCAUAGCUAGGGAGUGGAAGAGGUAGACGGUACUCAGUAGGUAGGGGUAAAAUCCUUUGAUCUAUUGAUGACCACCUGUGGCGAAGGCGGUCUACCAGAACACGUUCGACGGUGAGGGAUGAAAGCUGGGGGAGCAAACCGGAUUAGAUACCCGGGUAGUCCCAGCUGUAAACGAUGCAGACUCGAUGAUGCAUUGGCAUAAUAGCCAUUGCAGUGUCGCAGGGAAGCCGUUAAGUCUGCCGCCUGGGAAGUACGUACGCAAGUAUGAAACUUAAAGGAAUUGGCGAGGGAGCACCACAAGGGGUGAAGCCUGCGGUUCAAUUGGAGUCAACGCCGGA
rnacentral:rRNA from 1 species